rnacentral:rRNA from 1 species
CUACCCGGGUAUCUAAUCCUGUUUGAUCCCCACGCUUUCGUGCCUCAGAGUCAAUCUUCGUGUAGCGAGCUGCCUUCGCAAUUGGUGUUCUAUGUCAUAUCUAAGCAUUUCACCGCUACAUGACAUAUUCCGCUCACCUCCACGGGAUUCAAGACAGAGAGUAUCAACGGCAGUUUCCGAGUUAAGCCCGGAGAUUUCACCACUGACUUCCCUGCCCUCCUACGCACCCUUUAAACCCAGUGAAUCCGGAUAACGCUUGCACCCUCCGUAUUACCGCGGCUGCUGGCAC